rnacentral:lncRNA from 1 species
UAAAAAGAAAAAAAACUCCGUUCUCUUCUCUCUCUACGAACUCGCAGACAACAAGGCGGCUGAAAACCCUAGCUCUGACGUCGAUUCGCGGCGUCGGAGGCGCACCUUCUCUACCCUAACUCUCUUUUCCCCUUUGCUUCCACCUCCACGCUCAACCUAUGCCGAUAUGUGUGAAUCUCUGUGCUGCUGUACUCCUUCAUGACUACUUUCAGUCAACCAAGGUGGUUCCGGCUUCUUAUGGAGAGACGACGAGGCCCAAGGAAGAACGACGGAGGUGGGAGUCGGCUUUUAGGACUGACGGUAGCGGCAGAUCCAGUUUUCCCCUUUUUCGAUCUAUGUUUGCUACUGUCACGGUGACGGCGCGUGACGCGGCGAGACAACUCUUAGAGACCGGAUCUACCUUUCCCUGAGGCGGUGAGACGGUUGGAGGAGGAACGUAACAGACGGCGAACAGAGGUAUGUCCCUUCGGUCCUCGGAGAGACGACGUGCUGCAAGGGCUUCGACGAUGGUGGAGUCAACCGGAGGAGAGGCUUUUGCGGUUCAAGCGCGGUGGAGACUAGCUUCCCAGCGCCGGAAAUGGACUAGUGGUCGUUCCGGUGGCUGGUCUUCACACCUUUUGCAAGCUGUGAUUUGAAGUGCUGAGUUUUCGAUUGCUGUCGCCAAGGUCCGCUUUCAUUCCGGACGGUCAUGUUCGGUUUCAGGCUCAGAGCCGGGGUAGUGAUAGCUGGAAGGGAUGAUGCUUGUCCGGUACGCACCGGUGGUGUUGUAUCUGUUGGAACAUGUACGGAAUUCAAAUCAUUAGGGGUCCAAUGGUUUGGAUUAGAAUGAAUGUCGGUCUAGUGUCUUGAUCUUCCUGUAAUUCACUACGCUGGCUGGGUGGUCUAAUUUAGGGUGUAAGAGCCGGUUUAUCUCGAGUCGUGGGAUAAACUCGGCUCGAAGUGGUGAAAGUUACAGCGACGCACUGAUUAGGUAGCGUAGGAUCCAACUUAGUGAUUCUAGGUGUUACUAGAUCGCGUCGUUUGUACGUCUGGUUGAAAACUCGUGUGGUUGUAAUCUCGUGUUCACAAUUUGGAAAAUGAAAGUUGAUGUUGAGUAAAAAAAAAAAAAAAAAACUGUUUCAUUAUGCGUUAUCAACAAGUAACAACUUCAUACUUGGAACCCACUACUCCAGCCAAAGGUGUCUAAAUCACCAACAGAGGAAACCCUGUUUAAAAGAAAUACUUCACACUAGACCAUUUACAAUGGACUAGCAGCAGUUGUAUGUACCCUUUUAAAAGAAAGAUAACACAUUAGAUUAUGCGUUCGUUAUGUUUUCCCAGUCGAAUGAAAUAUAUGUUUCCUUCCUCCACAAGAUGGAGACCAA